UACGUAGGGUCCAAGCGUUAUCCGGAAUCACUGGGCGUAAAGCGUGCGUAGGUGGCGUGUUAAGUGUGAUGUUAAAUCGUGGGGCUCAACCCUAUCGAUGCAUCGCAUACUGGCAUGCUAGAGGAAAGCAGAGGCAAGUGGAAUUUGUAGUGUAGCAGUGAAAUGCGUAGAUAUUACAAGGAACACCAAUGGCGAAGGCAGCUUGCUGGGCUUUUUCUGACACUGAGGUACGAAAGCGUGGGUAGCAAACAGG
rnacentral:rRNA from 1 species